ACAACAUUCGGACCGUCAGUCUACCGAGCUAUAUCACCCGCUCGGUGGAAGAUCUUCGUAUAUAUA
rnacentral:pre_miRNA from 1 species